AUGAAUGGGAACAUUUCCUUAGCAACUCUUUGAAUAUUCCCAAGCAUCAAAUAAGGACUCGUCAUUUUAUUGUCUAAAUAAAGUAAUUUCAUUUCGCAUCUU